rnacentral:rRNA from 1 species
GAUGAACGCUAGCGGCAGGCCUAAUACAUGCAAGUCAAACGGUGUCUUCGGACAUAGUGGCGCACGGGUGCGUAACACGUAUGCAACCUACCUUACAUUGGGGGAUAGCCUUUCGAAAGGGAGAUUAAUACCGCAUAAGACAGUAGCUGGGCAUCCAACAGCUGUUAAAGAUUUAUCGAUGUAAGCUGGGCAUGCGUCCAAUUAGCUAGUUGGUGAGGUAACAGCUCACCAAGGCAAUGAUUGGUAGGGGAACUGAGAGGUCAAUCCCCCACACUGGCACUGAGAUACGGGCCAGACUCCUACGGGAGGCAGCAGUAGGGAAUAUUGGGCAAUGGACGCAAGUCUGACCCAGCCAUGCCGCGUGCAGGAUGAAGGCGUUAUGCGUUGUAAACUGCUUUUAUACAGGAAGAAACGACUCUUGCGAGAGGCAUUGACGGUACUGUAUGAAUAAGCACCGGCUAACUCCGUGCCAGCCGCCGCCGUAACAC